UGAACCAUUUGCAAGCCUAGCCUCCACUGGGGAGAAGUCUGUUCUCAGAGUGAGGAGCUCUGCACGCGUUGGCUAAAAGGGUGGCGUGGCUUUGUGAAAUUGAGAGCUGGAGGAGCCCAGCAGAAUGAACCAGGUUGUUCAGCCCUUAAUGAGCAGACACUCUGCGUGUAGAGGCAGCCAGGCCCACCUCUCAUGGCUGUGGACCUCUGUCCCCCUCUGCUGGCCACUCACAGAAUUUCCUGCUGGCACUGUCAAGAUGAAGUCCAAGGAGGAAGAGACUGCUGUCGAUAAGGGAGACCUGGUGGCCCUGAGCCUCCCCGCCGGCCAUGGUGACACUGACGGCCCCAUCAGCCUGGACGUGCCCGAUGGGGCACCGGACCCCCAGCGGACCAAGGCCGCCAUUGACCACCUGCACCAGAAGAUCCUGAAGAUCACCGAGCAGAUCAAGAUCGAGCAGGAGGCUCGCGACGACAAUGUGGCGGAGUACCUGAAACUGGCCAACAACGCGGACAAGCAGCAGGUGUCACGCAUCAAGCAAGUGUUCGAGAAGAAGAACCAGAAGUCAGCCCAGACCAUCGCCCAGCUGCACAAGAAGCUGGAGCACUACCGCCGGCGCCUGAAGGAGAUUGAGCAGAACGGGCCCUCGCGGCAGCCCAAGGACGUGCUGCGGGACAUGCAGCAGGGGCUGAAGGACGUGGGCGCCAACGUGCGCGCAGGCAUCAGCGGCUUUGGGGGCGGCGUGGUGGAGGGCGUCAAGGGCAGCCUCUCUGGCCUCUCACAGGCCACCCACACCGCCGUGGUGUCCAAGCCCCGGGAGUUUGCCAGCCUCAUCCGCAACAAGUUUGGCAGUGCUGACAACAUCGCCCACCUGAAGGACCCCCUGGAAGAUGGG
rnacentral:sRNA from 1 species